rnacentral:lncRNA from 1 species
UUGACUAUUUUAUACAAAUUAAAAGAAAGAAUAAAUGAAAGAAAAUAAAUAAUAUUUUUAUUAAAGCAUUCUUAUUAUAUAUUGAAAACGGUAAAAAUAAUAUUUAUUAAAAAAUAAAAUUAAAAAAAAACAUUUAAAAUUGAAAUAAAUCAUUCAUUUUGGAACAUAAAAGAAGAGGGAAUACGUUUGGAACACAUAUCUCAUAUUUCUAUUAAGCUCUAAUAUCAACCAUAUACUUAUAUUUUUUAUUGUCUCUUUCUUACUAGUUUUUC